rnacentral:lncRNA from 1 species
CGUCUCCAUGGCAACGGCGCGGCCUGCGCGCCCGGAGCCCGGCCCGGGGGUCGCGGAGCCCCCCAGAGUCCGGCAGUCUGAGCCACAAACCCGGGAAAGAGGCCCCGACUGCUCCUUCCGUCACCCCUGAGAAGGGGACAGGAGCCCCAAGGCCAUGGCAGAGCAAGGGGACAGCCUUUGUGGGGGUGAGUGAGAUUUUGGGGGGCUCCUCCCGGGCGGGGGAGAGGGGGGCUGCACUCCUGGCCUGGACCCCCACUCAAUUCCCACAGCCCCCGAGGAGCUGUCCCCAGGAGUGACCCUCAAUGACAGCCUGGUCAGCACCCGCAGCCGCUGCACGGGGCCGCUGCCCACCGGCACCAUCCGCUUGGACCGGGAGCAGAUCUCCUCCAUCGGGAGGCUCCGGAGGCUGCAGGACAUCCACAGCCUCUACCUUCAGCAGGUACGGGGCUGGGGGGGCAGCCUGCUCCUGGGGGGCACAGAGACCCCGGGUCUGACCCUACAGACACCCCCAGUUC